rnacentral:rRNA from 1 species
AGUGAACGCUGGCGGCAGGCCUAACACAUGCAAGUCGAGCGGCAGCGGGUUCCCGCGAGGGGAUGCCGGCGAGCGGCGGACGGGUGAGGAACACAUCGGAAUCUGCCUGGUUGUGGGGGAUAACGUAGGGAAACUUACGCUAAUACCGCAUGAGACCCUGAGUCGACGGACUGGGGGUGAAAGUGAGGGACCUUCGGGCCUCACGCGACCAGAUGAGCCGAUGUCGGAUUAGCUAGUUGGCGGGGUAACGGCCCGCCAAGGCGACGAUCCGUAGCUGGUCUGAGAGGAUGAUCAGCCACACUGGGACUGAGACACGGCCCAGACUCCUACGGGAGCAGCAGUGGGAAUCUUGGACAAUGGGCGCAAGCCUGAUCCAGCCAUGCCGCGU